rnacentral:rRNA from 1 species
UGGUGGAGUGAUUUGUCUGCUUAAUUGCGAUAACGAACGAGACUUUCACCUGCUAAAUAGCCCGUAUUGCUUUGGCAGUACGCUGGCUUCUUAGAGGGACUUUCGGCUCAAGCCGGAGGAAGUUGGAAGCAAUAACA